UAUUCUAUAAAAUGACCCCUCACCCUCACAAUUAGAGGAGGCUAAUUCCUAGGCCUGAGAUCCCCUCUCUCACCCUCAGAAGCUCUCACCUUCUCCCUCUCUAUCCUCUCAGAGAAAUACAAUACAAUCAGUGUGGACGUAGCCCAAACCUUGGGGUGAACCACGACACAUCUUGUGUUAUUUACAUUUCAUGCAGAUUCACGGUCGGAUUUACGUUGUACCAAGACCUCCGGUUUUAUGCAUCAACAUUUGGCGCCGUCUGUGGGAAACGAUACGAAAAGUUAUGUCGGUUCUCUUUCAUUUUUUCACCUCCGCCGUGAAUCUGCAAAAUCACAAAAAAACCUUCGCAAGACUCCCUCUUUACUGAAAAUCUCUCCAAAUAAACACUCCAUUAAGUCUGCCAUCACUCUAGACAAAAAGCCAGAGCAAUUACUUAUCCAAUAGGUUAUUGAAGAAGAUGAACUCUCAAAGCGUCAAACACAUAUCAGAGUGUUUUAUCAUUCCACACCAUGUCUCAGAGGAAUCACAGCAGCCAUUAUACUUGGCACCCACUGACCUCGUCAUGCUCUCUGUCCACUAUAUCCAGAAAUGCCUCCUUGUUUAUUUUGGACAAGCUCAAGCAUUAUCUUUCCCUCUCUCUUGUUCACUUUGGCAUCAAUUCCACCGAUGUCAUCCUCGAGAUCGGUCCCGGUACUGGUAAUCUCACCAAGAAGCUUCUAGAAGCUAGUAAGAGGACGAAGUCGUUUCGCUUUCCGUCACCUCUGCGCCCCCAGAAAAAAGUACAGGGUUGAAGAAUAUUACAAGAAACAAGAAAGGCUUCUUGAAGGGUUCAAUGAGAUGGAGACCAUGACUGAAGAGGGUUGGUUGUCCACAAGUCUUAACAGAGCAGAAUCCGCAACAAUGAGCGACGGCGACAAGACUAGGACGAUGACUCCAAGUCGGACCGACAGCUUUCCGAUUCGGUGGACCCACUCCGUCUCAAGCUCCGGCUCCGUCUUCUUCUUGCUCGGGAUUCUUUCACCUGCGUCUCCGGCACCGAGUUUUCGACUUCUUCAGGACCGCCUGCAGAUCUAUCCCCACCAUCAUGGAAGUUUACAACGUCGACGACGACAACAACACCUGCCCUGUUUUGCGCCUCCCCUCACGCAACUCCACCUCCUCCUCGCCACCCUCUUCACCCUUCCAACCACCACUGCCCAAGGACCAAAUCUGCCACCUAAUCCACCGCUUGGACGCCUAUACCGAACCAUCUUCCUUCUUCGAUUCCCUUUCCAAGAUUACCUAGUUCGCAAGAUAGUGAAUGUUAGAUUGGUCCAUUUAGGAGCAACGAAGCUGAUGUCCAAGUUGCUAGAAACUGUGUCAUCGACGAAAGAAGGGCGGGGAAAGAUAUGCGAGGACGGCAAGUACGUGUCGAGGAUCGUGCAGAGAUUGCUGAAGGUGUCGAGUGCACGUGAGGGAGGUGAGCAUGCAGGUGGAGGCCAGAUAGGAGAAUCAUUUGAACGGAAGGAAGAAUCAUGGGGGAAUACAUGGGGGACAACGCAAGAGAAAAAGAAAAAGAAAAAGAAAAAGAAAAAGGGAAGAAAUGAGUAGAAAUGAGCGGCAACAGAAUAAUAAAAGCAGAAAGCAUGGCCACCCACUACUCGAUCAGCCUCGGAGAAAAUUGCAGAAAGCUGAGAAAAAUGAAAGCAAAAGCAAAAGAUUAUUCCCUUGUCUGUCAUCUGCCAAAAGAAAGAAAAAUAAAAGCAAAAUGGAGGCACAUGGGACACUAUAAAAGCAGGGAAUAAACAUCACACCAAAAUGAUGUAAUUUAUUUUAUCUUUCGGAGACAUCUGUAUAAACCUCAUUAGAGGGAGUAAUUAAAAAAAAAAACUGCAAGCCCAAAAUAAUGGGCUGCAAUGUCAUAUGGAGGGCGAAGGCCCAUAUGCCCAAAAGAGCCAGCCCAUCUAUUAUCACCAACCAGGUGAUCAAAAGUACGCUCGGAACUCCAACAUUAUUCGGCAACCUGCCACUAGUACCACCAACCAGGUGAUCAAAAGUAUGCCCAUUACUCCAAAAUUAUUCGGCAACCUGCCGCUAUUACCACCAACCAGGUGAUGAGAUGUACAACCCGUACUCUAAUAUCAUUUGGCAACUAGCCAUUCAUGCCACCAACCAGGUGAUGAAAUGUACAACCCGUACUCUAAUAUCAUUUGGCAACUAGCCAUUCAUGACACAACCAGGUGAUGAAAUGUAACCCGUACUCUCCUUCAUGCCACCAACCAGGUGAUCAAAAGUACGCCCAGUACUCCAAAUUAUACAUGAGCAUUACUCAUGUCAUUCAUACAUAAACAUUCAUGAGCAUCACUCAUGACAACAUCUAUGAGCAUCACUCAUGUCAAUCAACAUAAAUAUUCAUGAGCAUCACUCAUGUCAAUCAGCUUCAAAAGCUUCAUUUACAGAGCUCUAGCUUCAAAAGCUUAAUUUACAAAAGCUCUAGCUUCGAAAGCUUCAUUUACAGAGCUCUAGCUUCAAAGCCUCAGUGCAGGGUAUACAAAUACCACCUCCGAACAACCGCCACUUCGGCCCAUACAUGGAUUCAAUUUGAAGUCUCCAGCCAACAGACUCUAUUGACCGAAGACUUAGGGGACUACACUAUACACCAUAUAUUGGGCCUCAACUGGGCCUCAUGAAAAAUACUUGGGGGACUUAGCCCAUUAUUUAUGUAUUGAGGAGCGAGCCCUUAUUAUAUAAAAGGGACUCCCUCACUUUCAUUAGAGAGCACCCAUUAUUCAUAUACUGAGGAGCGAGCCCUUAUUUUAUAAAACGAACUCCCUCACCUUCAUUAGAGAGCAACGCCGCCAGCUGAGCAACCGCCUCGCCGCCAGCAUCACUCUUAACCCAUCACUUAUGUAUUGAUAAGCGAGCCCUUAUUCUAUAAAAGAAACUCCAUCACCACCAUUAAAGAGCAUCGCCGCCUACUGAGCAACCAUAUCGCCACGAGCAUCAACUCUAGCCCAUCAUUUAUGUAUUGAGGCGCGAGCCCUUAUUCUAUAAAAGGGACUCCCUCACAUUCGACGCCACAAGCCGAGCAGCCUCGCAACAUGUGCUACUUAUAGUUGAGCAUCAUUUCACUUUGAGCACCACCUCAUAUCAAGUAUCAGCUCAAGAUGACAUCUAGUUACUUCGGCCCACACAUGGACUGAAUUUCAAGUCUCCAGCCAAAAGACUCUCUUGACUGAAGACUUGGGGGACUACUGUUUAUAUCAUAUAUAGGGCAUCGUAUUUAGACCUCGUAUAAAUACUCGAGGAACUUAAAUGUAAUUAUGUAAUAAAGGAAGGGGCAAAUAUGUAAUAAGUGAAGAGUCAUUAUUCUAUAAAAUGAUGAGGCCAAUUCCUAAGCCUGAGAUCCCCUCUCUCACCCUCAGAAACUCUCACCCUCUCCCUCUCUAUCCUCUCAGAGAAAUACAAUACAAUCAGUGUGGACGUAGCCCAAACCUUGGGGUGAACCACGAUACAUCUUGUGUUAUUUACAUUUCAUGCAGAUUCACGGUCGGAUUUACGUUGUACCAAGACCUCCGGUUUUAUGCAUUAACAGUCUUCAUAAAUGGACUUUACUACUUGUGCAAGAAUCCAUUUUUACUCAAGCUCAAUCAUAGUCCAUUGAUAAAAACCAACUUUGGCAUAAGAGAUUAGCUCACCCCUCUGAGGUCGUCUUGUCAAAACUGUUCCCAAACUUUUGUAAAUCAUAGCUUACAUAUGAUACUUGUCAUUUUUCAAAAUUUGCUAGACUGCCUUUUGGCAAUUCAGUGUCUAGGACAAGUAAACCUUUUGAAAUGGUGCACAUUAAUGUAUGGGGACCAAAAAAUGAAAUGGAAGGAUUUAAGUACUUUGUCUUAUUUGUUGAUGACUUCUCUCGAGUGAGUUUUUUUAUAUCUUGUGAAAUCAAAUAGUGAAGUUCCAACCAUUUUCAAGAAUUUUCAUAUGCAUGUUAAAACACAAUUUCAAUCAAAUAUUUUUAAGAUCAGAUAACGACACUGAAUUUCUAUCCAACAACAUUCUUCAAUACAUAAGUUCUCAAGGUAUCGUCCAUCAAACCAGCUGUGUAAGGACCUCCCAACAAAAUGGAGUAGCCGAAAGGAAAAAUAGAGAUCUCUUGGAGACGACUCAUGCUCUCAUGAUACACAUGAAUGUCCCUAAAAAAAUUUGGUCGUUUACUAUCUCCACUGCCACUUACCUCAUCAACAUACUUCCAAGUCGUGUGCUAGGGUUUAAAUCUCCCUAUGAAGUACUCAAGGGUAGGCAAAUUGAUUUGACACACCUCAAGGUAUUUGGUUGUGUUUGCUUUGUUCACAUCCAAACUUUGAAUCGUGACAAACUAGAUGUCAGGGCAACCAAGUGUGUGUUUUUGGGUUACUCUUCUGCCCAAAAGAGAUACAAAUGCUUCAAUCUAGUCACUAAGAAGUGUCUAGUAUCAAGAGAUAUGAAGUUCAAAGAAGAUUGUCCUUAUUUCACUCAUACAAGUCAAGGGGAGAAACUAGUUGAUAUGUUUCCACUUCUUUAAAACUUCAAUCAUCAAGUGUUGAAGAGAGACUAGCCAUUAUGAUUCCAGAGCGCAAAAGAGUACAACUGACGUAAUCACUUCCAGGGAUCAAACUUGCAGUGAGAAAGACAUGGAGUCUCACUUAGAUCUUUCCCAAUCUUCUACAGAGCCUCAAAGGGUUAAGAGAAAUCCUCAUUGAACCAGAAAACCUCUAGCUAGGUUUCAGGACUACGUAACGUAUUCCUCACGGCAUCCUAUCACUGAAAGUAUCAGUCUUCGUGGGCUCUCUACAACUCAUGCUGCUUUUCUCUGUGAAAUUGAUAAGCAUUGUGAGCCAAGAAAUUUUCAAGAAGCAUCUUUACUUACACAAUGGAACCAAGCCAUGACAAAAGAGCUUCGUGCACUGGAAAAGAAUCACACUGGAGCUUGGUCCAACUAUCUCCAGGGAAAAAGGUUGUUGGAAGCCAUUGGAUUUACAAGACCAAGUUCAAAGCUGAUGGUUCAAUCAAGAGACACAAGGCUAGGCUUGUUGCUCGAGGUUUCACUCAAACAUUUGGAGUAAAUUAUAAGGAAACGUUUGCACCAGUGACCAAGAUGAACUCAGUAAGGGUUCUACUCUCGGUAGCAUUCAAUGGUGGAUGGUUCAUUUACCAAAUGGACGUGAAGAAAGCUUUACUUCACAGAGAGUUAUAGGAAGAAGUGUAUAUGCAGCCCCCCCGGGGUAUAAUCAUAUUGAAGGCAAUAUGGUUUGUAAAUUACACAAGGCAAUAUAUGAAUUGAAACAAUCCUCACGAGCUUGGUACGCCAAGCUUAGUUCUGUACUAGAGAAGGCUGGUUUCCUGCGAAGUAAUGUUGAUUCUUCAUUAUUUGUAAGAACCGACACUAGUGAAAAGUUGGUGGUUCUUAUCUACGUUGAUGAUCUUAUCAUCACUGGAGAUAGUGCCGUUGAGAUUGAAGCACUGAAGCUCUCCUUACAUCAAACCUUUGAUAUCAAAGAUUUGAGAAAGUUAAAGUAUUUUUUGGGCAUUGAAAUGGCAACAUCUUCAAAUGGAUUGUUUCUACAUCAACGAAAAUACGUAUUGGACCUACUUCAAGAAGCCAAAAUACUAGACUGCAAACCUGCUAUCACCCCCGUUGAUUGUAAACUGAAGCUCAACAUCGAUGGAGAAGCCAUGCAUGAUGUGAGCUACUAUCAAGGCUUGGUGGGGAAGCUAAUAUACCUCACCAUCACGCGUUCAGAUAUCACAUAUGCAAUGAGCUUGGCUAGUCAAUUUAUGCACUAUCCCACUGUGGAUCACCUUAGCAUUGUCAAGAAAAUAUUGCGCUACCUCAAGGGUUUCCAUAUGGUGAGGAAUUAUCAUGCACAACAAUCAGUCUACUGACAUUAGUGGUUACACAAAUGCAGACUGGGCAGGAAAUGCAAUUGAUAGGAAAUCUACCACAGGCUAUUGUACAUUUGUUGGUGGAAAUCUCAUCACAUAGAAGAGCAAAAAGCAACAGGACAUUGCUCGAUCUAGCGCAAAGGCAGAAUAUAAAGCCAUGGCAGCUAAUACUGCCUGUGAACUAAUUUGGCUUAAAGGGCUUCUUUCAAACUUAGGGUUCCCUAGUUUUACUCAUAUGUUCCUUAUGUGCGAUAAUCAGGCAGCCAUGCACAUUGAUGACAACC
rnacentral:lncRNA from 1 species